UGAUGUUAGCGGCGGACGGGUGAGUAACACGUGGGUAACCUACCUAUAAGACUGGGAUAACUCCGGGAAACCGGGGCUAAUACCGGAUAAUAUAUUGAACCGCAGGGUUCAAUGUUGAAAGACGGUUUCGGCUGUCACUUAUAGAUGGACCCGCGCCGUAUUAGCUAGUUGGUAAGGUAACGGCUUACCAAGGCAACGAUACGUAGCCGACCUGAGAGGGUGAUCGGCCACACUGGAACUGAGACACGGUCCAGACUCCUACGGGAGGCAGCAGUAGGGAAUCUUCCGCAAUGGGCGAAAGCCUGACGGAGCAACGCCGCGUGAGUGAUGAAGGUCUUAGGAUCGUAAAACUCUGUUGUUAGGGAAGAACAAAUUUGUUAGUAACUGAACAAGUCUUGACGGUACCUAACCAGAAAGCCACGGCUAACUACGUGCCAGCAGCCGCGGUAAUACGUAGGUGGCAAGCGUUAUCCGGAAUUAUUGGGCGUAAAGCGCGCGUAGGCGGUUUCUUAAGUCUGAUGUGAAAGCCCACGGCUCAACCGUGGAGGGUCAUUGGAAACUGGGGAACUUGAGUGCAGAAGAGGAGAGUGGAAUUCCAUGUGUAGCGGUGAAAUGCGCAGAGAUAUGGAGGAACACCAGUGGCGAAAGCGGCUCUCUGGUCUGUAACUGACGCUGAUGUGCGAAAGCGUGGGGAUCAAACAGGAUUAGAUACCCUGGUAGUCCACGCCGUAAACGAUGAGUGCUAAGUGUUAGGGGUUUCCGCCCCUUAGUGCUGCAGCUAACGCAUUAAGCACUCCGCCUGGGGAGUACGACCGCAAGGUUGAAACUCAAAGG
rnacentral:rRNA from 2 species